rnacentral:rRNA from 1 species
UACGGAGGAUGCAAGCGUUAUCCGGAAUUAUUGGGCGUAAAGCGUCCGCAGGUGGCAAUGUAAGUCUGCUGUCAAAGCGUCUGGCUCAACCAGAUAAAGGCAGUGGAAACUACAUAGCUAGAGUAAGGUAGGGGUAGAGGGAAUUCCUGGUGUAGCGGUGAAAUGCGUAGAGAUCAGGAGGAACACCGGUGGCGAAAGCGCUCUGCUGGACCUUAACUGACACUGAGGGACGAAAGCUAGGGGAGCGAAUGGG